rnacentral:lncRNA from 1 species
GCUAGAGCAAGAAGGCUAGAGAGGGUGGGGCAAGCAGCCCCUUUUAUAGAGUCAGGCACACCUAGCUGUUGCCAAGCAACUGUGGGGCGGAGCCUAGACAAAAUGCUAACAAUAUGCAGCAGGGAAUUGAGUUGGAUAGGAGGUGGGGGCGGGGGCGGCGGGUAGAGCUUUCCAGGGUGACCUUGGGAUUGGUGGGAUUUGGGGGGACAAGCUUAGGGAUUGGUGGGAUUCUGUGGCCCAAUGUUGGGCAAGCUCAGGAAUUGGUGGGAUUCUUUUUCUUGGUCCUGGGUUUGGGUUUAGGUUCAAGUCAGGAGCAGGUUAUCUUUUGGCCCUGGUCUCGGGGUUUAGAAAGUCCUAUCAUAAGUUUGUGCAUUCCAGCUUGAAACAAGCCUCGGCCACUGUUGUAACUUUAGACAUGCUGUCAUCUAGGCUUCCUUAUGUGAAUGAAUUCAGACAUUAGCCAUGGCCCUUUGUGCAUAACACUGGGUGGAAAGCUUGGCCCUGAGCUCCGUUUCUGCUCUGUUAUUUUUGAUAUUGGCUAAAACAGACAGCCAUGCUGUCCACAGCUGUGAAGACACCCGGUGUGUGAUACCCGCAAAACUGAGACUGGAAGGAUGAGCUGAGAGAAUUUUUGGUAGACAGUUGGAUAGUGUUUCUGAAAAAAAAAAGUUCAUUUCUUUCACUCUAGGAAUUCCAUAUUUAGCAAUUUAGAUAUAGUCUUCACUUACGAUGAUGUGCACGCAGCACUUUCUGUAGCAGAAAAUGAAAAUCACAACCGAAGCAAAUAGAAACCUCUAAAUUAGGUAUAGGUGCUGACCUUAUGAGGGAUCAGUCUGAAUUGGAGACACCCUGCCUUCGUGGCUUAUCUUCACAAAUAAGAAAUACUUGAAGCCAGGGAUGCCCAGACUGUCCUUUCGUCUUCUCAUACGUUGGUGGAAAGACUAUCUCCAGUGGACAGCAGAUACCUGGGGCUCAUUUUGCUGUUUUCAAAGUUCCUUUGUGAAAGGUUAUGGCCACAAAGAAGCAGGUAAGUACAAUGUGUGUGUGUGUGUGUGUGUGUGUGUGUGUGUAAAUUUACCAAGGCUGGAGAUGGGAUACUCUUUGUAAUUCCAGCACUUCGAAGGCAGAGUAUCACAGCUUGAAAUCCAACCUGGUUUGCCUGGUAAGUUCCAGGCCAAUCCGAACUACAGGGUUAGACUUGCCUCAAAAAUCCCUAAUUAAGUCUGCGAGAUAGGACAGGGCUGAGAAUACUUGCUAUGUUGGCAUAAUGACCUCAGUUUGAAUAGCCAGCACCUUUGUAAAUAGCCAGGCAUGGCUAAAUGUUUCUAUAACCCUAGCAUAGAGGUUGAUGGAGGAGACAGGUAGACUCUGAGAGCUUUCUGACCAGCCAGCCUAGCCAAAAUGAUGAGCUUUUCUUUCAGUGGGAAAUUAUGUCAAGCCAUAGAUGGAUAGCAGCAGAGGAAGACACCGGGCAUCCUGUUUGCCCUCUACACACAUGCGGAUGACAGUGUAUCCACAUAUGCCCAUGUGUGAUACAUACAGUGUCCCCCACCCUCCUACGACACACCUUCUGGAAAGUGCGUUUUCUUUCUUCCAAGCUCUGGAAGAGAGACUGGAAUGGAGCUUCUGGGAGAGUCAAAACUGUACUGCGAGUUUGUGUCAUUGUGUGUUCAUCACACAGGGCAGGAAUAAAAGCAUAGUGUGGUGGAUUAAAUAAUGCCUCCUGUGGGCUCAGACAGUUGAAAUGUUGGUAGAACAGUUUGCAAAGGAGUAGGAAAUGUGAUCUUGUUGGAGGAGCUGUGCCAGUGUUGGUUGAGGUUUCUAAAGCCGGUACCAUUUCCAGGGAGUUCUCUCUCGCUGCUUCUUAGGAAUCAAAUAUAAGCUCUUGGCUACCGCACCAACGCCAUGCCUGCUGCCAUACUAUACACGGAACACCAUGAGCCCCAGACUGAAUGGUUCUUCACUAAGUCGCCUCCAUCACGGCAUUUAAUCUCAGCAAUAGAAAACUAAGACAGGACUUUUUUUUUUUAUGCAGCAUUUCUUUUUUUUUUUAAUUAGGUAUUUUCCUAGUUUACAUUUUCAAUGCUAUCCCAAAAGUCUGCCAUACCC